UACGGAGGGUGCGAGCGUUGUCCGGAAUCACUGGGCGUAAAGGGCGCGUAGGUGGCGACGCAAGUCAACGGUGAAAGCUCGACGCUCAACGUCGAGUCGGCCGUCGAUACUGCAUCGCUGGAGCACUGUAGAGGCAGAUGGAAUUCCGGGUGUAGCGGUGAAAUGCGUAGAGAUCGUAAGGAAGACCAGUGGCGAAGGCGGGUCUCUGGACAGUUCCGUGACACUGAGGCAGCGAAGGCCAGGGGAGCAAACGGGG
rnacentral:rRNA from 1 species